CCCUUGCGAGGAUUCGGGAUUUCGGCGCAAUUAGGAGUUUGCCACCACUAGCCAAGAAGAGGAGAAGAAAAUGAAAGAUCAGGUUUAGGCCACACCAACAAAACUUGGAUUUUGUUUUUUUUUUCCUCUCCCUCUAUUGUGGUUUUGCCGUGAGAGUAUCGUCGCCAGAGUUUCACUUCAGGGAUGUAUUAUGCUGUUGUACAAUAGGUGCAGCGAUGAAUUGAUCCCGUGUAGCAUCGGUGACUUUUACUUAAAGGCUGCCUGAACUCCUGGUCAGACAGACAUUUCCAAGCAAGCUAUAGAUGCUGCUGAUCCUGCCAAGUUUCUUCAGCACUUUCAGUUUUUACCAUGAAUAAACUCCACCCAUCAGGAUAUCCAGGACUCUUCCUGGGAAGAGGCUGGCGCGCACGGUGGGCUGAAGGGCCUCGUUCCAUGCCGUAAAGACUCUAUGAGGAGCUGAAUACAAUGGACUUGCUAAAUCACAACGAAUACCCAAUUACAGCCUCAUGAGGAGCUUCUUCCGGAAACUAACUAUCCAGAAAGUUCCACAUGAUGACGUCCAUUCUUCUAGCAUUUUCUAAAACAGCCGACAGUCCACGGAUCAAAAAUAAAACGAACACAGCCAGCGAUUACGAUCACGGAUCAGACAAUUUAGAACAAAAAAAGUUAAAUUUUAUAUAUUAUUUCAGCUAACCGAUUAAAACAGACAAUAAAGGGAAAAGAACCAUGUGAACAUUCAAUAAAACGACAAACGUCCCGCAGGGGCAAGCGGAAUGCAGGGCGUCUGGGAAGGAGCGGGGCGGAAGUGCGUUAGCGUCAAGACAA